rnacentral:ncRNA from 1 species
UACCUGGUUGAUCCUGCCAGUAGUCAUAUGCUUGUCUCAAAGAUUAAGCCAUGCAAGUCUAAGUACGAGCUCUCGUACAGUGAAACUGCGAAUGGCUCAUUAUAUCAGUUAUGGUUCAUUUGAUCGUACAGUUUACUUGGAUAACUGUGGUAAUUCUAGAGCUAAUACAUGCGAGAAGCGCCGACCUCGCGGGAGGCGUGCAUUUAUCAGACCAAAAACCGGCCGCGUCUUCGGGCGCGUUCGCCUUGGUGACUCUGGAUAACUUUGCGGAUCGCACGGUCUAGCACCGGCGACGGAUCAUUCAAGUGUCUGCCCUAUCAACUUUCGUCGGUACGGUAUUUGCCUACCGAGGUUCUUACGGGUGACGGGGAAUCAGGGUUCGAUUCCGGAGAGGGAGCCUGAGAAACGGCUACCACAUCCAAGGAAGGCAGCAGGCGCGCAAAUUACCCAUUCCCG